UACAGAGGUCUCAAGCGUUGUUCGGAUUCAUUGGGCGUAAAGGGUGCGUAGGCGGCGCGGUAAGUCGGGUGUGAAAUCUCGGAGCUUAACUCCGAAAACUGCAUUCGAUACUGCCGUGCUUGAGGACUGGAGAGGAGACUGGAAUUUACGGUGUAGCGGUGAAAUGCGUAGAUAUCGUAAGGAAGACCAGUGGCGAAGGCGGGUCUCUGGACAGUUCCUGACGCUGAGGCACGAAGGUCAGGGGAGCAAACGGG
rnacentral:rRNA from 1 species